AUACUUUACAGGAGCCAGGAUGGGCAAAAAGAACACUGUUCUCCAAAUAUCAGGCAUCUGUGUAAUGAUUGCUGAUUGCUACUUCUGAUCACAGAAGGUCCCACAAAGAGGGCCUGCUAUCUGCUGUGACAGACUGCCACAAUUACUACUUGAGACCCUCAUUACAGCAGUUACUACUGUUACUACUUGAGACCGACAUUACGAGACUGAACGAAGGGGGACGAAUGAAUGCAGAAAUUAAGACUUAAAAGAAACUGUUUUAAAGAAAGGGGCCAGGGGACGAAGAAGAGGGCUCCUUGGACGGUGAUAAUGAAGGGAAAAGAUUGGCUUGAGGACUGUGGGGGAAGGGGAUCC
rnacentral:lncRNA from 10 species